rnacentral:rRNA from 1 species
GACGAACGCUGGCGGCGUGCCUAAUACAUGCAAGUCGAGCGAACAGGCGAGAUGCUUGUUUCUCCGAUGUUAGCGGCGGACGGGUGAGUAACGCGUGGAUAAUCUACCUAUAAGAGGGGGACAAUUUUGGGAAACGGGAGCUAAUACCGGAUGAUAUCUUGAAACACAAGGUUCAAAAGUGAAAGACGGUCUUGCUGUCACUAAUAGAUGGAUCGCGGCUGCUUUAGCUAGUUGGGAAGGUAACGGCCUACCAAGGGAAGGAUGCAUAGCCGACUGGAGGGGGGGAUCGCCGACAUGGGAACGGGACCCGGCUCAAGCCUCCUACGGGAGGCACCAGAAGGGAAUCUGCGGCAGUGGGCGAAAGCCUGACGGAGCAAGGCGGCGUGAGUGAUGAAGGUCUUGGGAUCGUAAAACUCGGUUAUUGGGGAAGAACAUAUUUGGAAGUAACUGUGCACAUCGUGACGGUACCUAAUCAGAAAGCCACGGCUAACUACGUG